AACGAACGCUGGCGGCGUGCUUAACACAUGCAAGUCGAGCGGUAAGGCCCUUUCGGGGGUACACGAGCGGCGAACGGGUGAGUAACACGUGGGUGACCUGCCCUUAGCUCUGGGAUAAGCCUGGGAAACUGGGUCUAAUACCGGAUAUGACUCCAUGACGCAUGUUGUGGGGUGGAAAGCCUUGUGCGGCUAGGGAUGGGCCCGCGGCCUAUCAGCUUGUUGGUGGGGUGAUGGCCUACCAAGGCGACGACGGGUAGCCGGCCUGAGAGGGC
rnacentral:rRNA from 1 species